AACAAAUACAACCCAAAACCUCCAGGGAGAGGGAGAGGUAGGGACAGAAACAAAGACAACCCAAAACCUCCAGGGAGAGGGAGAGGUAGGGACAGAAACAAAGACAACCCAAAACCUCCAGGGAGAGGGAGAGGUAGGGACAGAAACAAAGACAACCCAAAACCUCCAGGGAGAGGGAGAGGUAGGGACAGAAACAAAGACAACCCAAAACCUCCAGGGAGAGGGAGAGGUAGGGACAGAAACAAAGACAACCCAAAAUCUCCAGGGAGAGGUAGGAACAGAAACAAAGACAACCCAAAACCUCCAGGGAGAGGUAGGGACAGAAACAAAGACAAUCCAAAACCUCCAGGGAGAGGGAGAGGUAGGGGCAGAAACAAAGACAAUCCAAUACCUCCAGGGAGAGGUAGGGGCAGAAACAAAGACAAUCCAAUACCUCCAGGGAGAGGUAGGGGCAGAAACAAAGACAAUCCAAAACCUCCAGGGAGAGGUAGGGGCAGAAACAAAGACAAUCCAAAACCUCCAGGGAGAGGGAGAGGUAGGGACAGAAACAAAGACAAUCCAAAACCUCCAGGGAGAGGGAGAGGUAGGGACAGAAACAAAGACAAUCCAAAACCUC